rfam:Capsicum annuum cultivar Zunla-1 chromosome 11, whole genome shotgun sequence
UAUUAAUAGUGUGGACAAUCAUUGAGAAGAUAUUUGAACCUCUCCCAUACAUGAUAUAAUUUCUCAUCUGGCUUCUACUUAAAACUCAGAAUCUCAUGCCAUAACCU